GAUGAACGCUGGCGGCGUGCUUAACACAUGCAAGUCGAACGGGAUCCAAGGGGUGCUUGCACUUUUUGGUGAGAGUGGCGAACGGGUGAGUAACACGUGAGUAACCUGUCCUUUUCUUUGGGAUAAGCAUUCGAAAGGGUGUUUAAUACCUUAUGUUCUGUCUGCCUCGCAUGGGGUGGGUGGGAAAGGCUUUGGCCGGAUUUGGGUGGGCUCGCGGUCUAUCAGCUUGUUGGUGGGGUGAUGGCUUACCAAGGCUUUGACGGGUAGCCGGCCUGAGAGGGCGGUCGGUCACAUUGGGACUGAGAUACGGCCCAGACUCCUGCGGGAGGCAGCAGUGGGGGAUAUUGCACAAUGGGCGAAAGCCUGAUGCAGCGACGCCGCGUGGGGGAUGAAGGCGUUCGGGUUGUAAACUUCUUUUGCUCUGAACAAGGCAUGCCAGUGGGUGUGUUGAGUGUAGGGGUUGAUUAGCGCCGGCUAACUACGUG
rnacentral:rRNA from 1 species